ACACACCCAUCAUCCAGCACUCACACACACAUCAUCCAGCACUCACACACCCAUCAUCCAGCACUCACACACCCAUCAUCCAGCACACACACACCCAUCAUCCAGCACUCACACACCCAUCAUCCAGCACACACACACCCAUCAUCCAGCACUCACACACCCAUCAUCCAGCACACACACACCCAUCAUCCAGCACACACACAUCCAUCAUCCAUCACUCACAUACCCAUCAUUCAUCACUCACAUACCCAUCAUCCAGCACACACACACAC